AUACACACAUAUAUAGCCUACCAGAGAGUGUGGGGGUACAAAUUAAAUGACAUGUGUAAAUUUCCAACAACAGUGGCAGGCACUCAGCAAAUGCUUAAUAAAAAUUUACUUUUGUUAUUGUUGUCAUUGCUGCUACUAAUAUUGAUACCAAAGAGGACAUGAGGCCCAAACACCGAGUGCCUGCUGGUUGGGGGUGGUGACUUCGUUGUCUCCACCCCACUGAUGACAAAACAGGUUCAAAGUGGCUCUCCAGGACAGCCUGGGUUCACACAGCUGUCACAGACUUGCUGCAUGUUAAAGCUGGAAGGGAUCUUUGCAAGUGCAUGAUUUGGAUACCCUCACUUUACAAAUGAGAAAAGGGAGGCUCAGAGAGAUUAAAAGUCUUCUAAAGGUCACACAGCUUGUACAUGAUGGGAACAAACCUGAGACACCCAGUUCCCUGCCCCACAUUCCCCUCAGCCUGAAUGUUCUCAUAUAGAAGUGACAUAUUGUAAAUGCUAAAGGAUUUUAGAUGAAAAUAUAAAGAUUAACCCAACAGGCUCUCAAAUAGGAACAAGGUAGAACAGACAUGAGCUAGAAUUAUAAGCCAACUACAGUUAAAUUAAAACUUUAAAUGAACCACAGCCUAUUAACCACAACCUACCAUUAGACUUUUAUGAAUUUUUAAAAGCCAUACUUUUACUAGAAAGAACUGGUAAUAGAGGUUUAAUUAAAAACACAAGCAGAGGCAACCAUCAAUCUUCUGUAGUUGAAAACAAAGACAUUUAUUUCUGCGGCAAACUGGACCAUGAGAAAUGGCCAUCAGAAUGAUCACCGUGGGUCUUACAAGUCCCUGAGUCAUGGAAGAAACCUUAAUUAUGCUCAGUACACAUCACUUAUGAGAGAUUCAGGUUUUGGAAGAUUUUCAACAACAGGGGGCUGUCUGGCUGAUGCUGACUUUGGUGGGCCUGAAGUUCUUUGGAACCUACACUCCAUCUCUGAACACUGUGGACUCUGCAGGUUUCCAAGACAUUCCAACAUGGCAGAGGGGUCACUCACCUCUCUCAGCACUCACCUGUUGUUAUGUUCCCAAAGCCCAGAGUGAUGAGCCAUUCCUUGUGCUCAUUGAGUUGGUGCUUUGACUCAUUGAGGACGCCGUUGGCCCACAGAAGCAGGUUGGUGAACACCAAGUGGAUCACCCCAAACCUGAAAAACACAAGGACUCAGUUCUCAAGCAGCCCUGGGAGAGCCUCAGGCACCAUAGGGUGAGACAGACAUGUGCACACAAAUACACGGCUCCUUCUCAGCCAUGAUUCUGGCUACAUCAUGGAUGACCCUUGAGAACUUUAUGCUGUGAGAAAUAAGCCAGACACAAGAAGACCAAUACUGUAUGGUUCAAUUUAUACGAGGCAUCUAGAAUAUUCAAACUCAUAAAGACAGAAAGUAGAACAGAGUUUGCCAAAAGCCAGAGGAGGAGGAAAUAGAGAGUUGUUUAGUGGGCUCAGAGUUUCAGUUUUGCAAGAUGAAAAACGUUUGCAGAUUGGUUGUACAACAAGUGAAUGUACUUAACAUUAAUGAACCAUAUGCUUAAAAUGACUAAGAUGGUAAAUGUUAUGUGAUUGUCAACCUGAAAAAAAAAGACAUUAGAGAAAAUUAUCGCUAAAUAUGUUGGAUUUACUUGGAAAUAGGAAUUACAGUCCAGAAUGCAUGGAAUGGCAAGCCACCAGCGCAUUCGGUGAGGGAAGGGUAAGGAGGAGCUGUUAUUAGCAAAGAGAGAUUUACAUAAUCCACAGAGAAAAAAAGUUCAUCGGUUCUAGAGGCUCAAAGCCAGAGUUGUCAUCAGUUCAUUGGUGGAGAUGCCAGUGCUGGACAAGUGUUCUUCCAAGAGCAUCUUAUCUGCUUUACUGCAGUCCUAAUGAAUGUCUAGUAAUGUCCAACCUCUUCAAAGCAGGAGAUGCAUGAAGGGUUUUUAGAAAGUCUUUGGAAACACUUUGUAUCUCAGACACGUAGACAGAAGUGCCCUCUCCUUAGCGCUUUCCCAGGCCUAUUUUGCCUGGGUCUGACAAAAGCGAUUUCAUCCUGAUAUCUACGGGUUUUUCAGUAUUUGCCACAAUUUUAAAAUAAAUGCUCUGUUUUUUAGAACAGCGCCUAAUUGUUAUAUAUACUUUUUUCCAUUCGCCAGUCAUCUAAUGUAGCAAAAGCACAUGGUAAGUGUCCAACAGGUAUAGAAUUAUUAAUUAAUUGACUUGCCUGGCCAAUAAAAGGCCUUAAAUUAGAAAGCUAGGAUCUCCAACCCACCAACUAAGAGGGAUAUUUUGAAAAUUCAUAUCUGUCCCAGUCAUUCUUCUGCCUAAAGCCUUCAGUGGCUCCCCACUGCCCUUGAGGUGAAGCCCAAGCCCCUAGGUGGUGGUCAGCCUUGACCAAGAAUUUGCUGCACACCUAGCCCUGUGCCAAGUGCUUUUCAUACACAUGUGCCUUUAAUCUCUACAACGAGCCCAUGAAGUAGGUACUGUGAUUGUCCUCACCUUGCAAGUAAGACCCAUGAGGCCCAGAGAAGUUAAAUAAUUUUCCUGAAGUCACACAGCUGUGGUCAGAGCCAGAGUCAUGCAAUCUGACCAGAGUGCAAGCUUACAAGCCCUACACCAAACAGGGAUCCAGCCUGUGCCCACACAUCCUCCCGCUACCCCACUGUGAGGAAAGACUGCAUGUCCCAAAGACACCCUCUUCCAGUGGCCUCUGACCCACUAACCCUGUGCUCCUCCCUCUCUCACAAACGGUUCUGGGACCUUCUCUGGCAGAAAUUGACUCUCACCCCAAGCUGCCGAAAUGCCCUCCUUUGUGCUCCCUCAUUGCUCUGGGACACUCUGGUCAAAGCACUGAGCCCAGCGUUGUCACUGUUUUGGGGACUGCCUCUCACCUAACUGACACCCCCACGGUGUGUGCCACAGACUUUGCAGCCUUGUAUUCCCCAUGCUGAGAACAAUGUUCAUCCAGUAUUUAAAGAUGAACUGCAAGAAAAAUAAAUGAAUGAACGAAUGCAGUUCGUUCUGGCCUCACGAAAGCUUUCCACAUUGUCACUGUAUCACUAUAAGGCUCUGUCUUCACGGGAUUUGGCUCCCCUGGAAUGAGCAGCCAGUUAUCUUUGAUCAGCUUGGGCUGCCAUAACAAAGGACCACAGAUCAUCAACUUCAAUAACAGGAAUUUCUCUUCUCAGGGUCCUGGGGCUAGAAAUCCAAGAUCAAGGUAUGGGCAGGGUUGGUUCCUUUUGAGGCCUCUCUCUUUGGCUUGUAGAUGGUCAAUUUCCUCCAGUGUCUUUACAUGGCUGUCUCUCUGUGUGUGUCUGUGUCCUUCUCUCCUCUUGUUAUAAAGACACCAGGGCCAGGCGCGGUGCCUCACGCCUGUAAUCCCAAUACUUUGGGAGGCCGAGGCAGGUGGAUUGCCUGAGGUCAGGAGUUCGAGACCAGCCUGGCCAACAUGGUGAAACCUCAUCUCUACUAAAAAUACAAAAAUUAGCUGGGCAUGGUGGCAGGUGCCUGUAAUCCGAGCUACUUGGGAGACUGAGGCAGGAGAAUUGCUUGAACCCAGGAGACGGAAGUUGCAGUGAGCCGAGAUUAUGCCAUUGCACUGCAGCCUGGGCAACAAGCAAAAUUCCAUCUCAAAAACAUAAAAAAUAAAGACACUAAGCAUAUUGAAUUUGGGCCAGCCUAAUGAUCUUAUUUAACCUCAAUCUCCUCUAAACGACCCUAUCUCCAAAUACAGUCACAUGCUCAGGUACUGAGAAUGAGGGUUUCAGCAUAUGAAUUUCACAGGGGAUAUGACUCAGUUCAUAAAGCUUUCAAGUGCAAGGCAGCCCCUCCAAAUGAGCCCCUCAGCAAGCUCCCCAGUGAUCCCACCAUGCCACCAGGGAGCUAAACUGUUUCCAGGCUCACUGGGCAUGUUCUGUCUGUUAGCUUCACUGUUUGAGAAUGUGUUUGAUCUAGAGAAACACUCUAAGGUCAUCCAGUGCUGUCCGGUAAGUCAGCUGGGGGUACAAGCUGACGGUCACUUUGGAUAAAAGAUGAAGUUUUAAAAAUGUCAUCCCUGGUUUUCUAGAGGUAGAAAACUUUCCAAAGAACCUUCUCAAACUGGAAAUCCAAAAAUAUUUCCAGCAAUGGCAGUAUCACCAGAACAAGUUCAUGGUCUUCCAGGGUGACUUGUCAGGAAGAAAAUAAUCAUUGUGUCUCCGCAGUGACUUUGAGCAAGUCACUUGUCUUCUCUGAGCUCCAACUUCUUCGUUAGAAAAAAAUGAGGGCAGAGCCUGCCAUUUGCAACAACAUGGGCAAAUCUGGAGGACAUUGUGCUCAGUGAAAUAAGGCAGACACAGAAAGAAAAAUACUGCAUAAUCUCACUUAUAUGUGGUAUCUAGAAAAAUGUUUUUAAUCCAAUGCAUAAAAACAGAUGGUAGAAGCUGGGCAUGGUGAUGUGGGCCUGUAGUCCUAGCUACUAGGGAGACUGAGGCGGGAGGAUCACUUGAGCUGAAUUCAAGGCUGCAGUGAUCCGUGAUGGCACCACUGCACUCUACCCUGGGCAACAGAGCAAGACCCUGUCUCUAAAAUUGAAUUAAAUUAAUAAAUAAAAACAAAAUAACAUAAAGAGUAGAAUGGUAGUUGGAGGGGAAAAAUUAGAAGAUUUUGGUCAAAGGGUACAAAGUUGCAAAUACGUAAGAUGAAUAAUUCUAGAGAUGUAAUGGACAACGUGAAGACUGUAGUUAAUACUAUUGUAUUGUAUACUGGAAAUUUGCUAAGAGAAUAGAUUUUAGGUGCUCUUACCACAUCCAAAAAAAGAAAGGCAACUAUGUGAGAUGACAGACAUAAAUAUGCUUGACUGUAGUAAUCACUUCACUAUGGAUAGGAAUAUCAAAUAAUCAUGUUGUAUACCUUAAACAUAUACAACAAAAAACAAAAAAAAAAUGAGACUGACAAUUCAACAAUUCAGAUCCUGACUCUGAUAACAUUACCACGGAUUUCUGCCAAGGGCGAACACUACCCUGAAAGCCCAUCUAACAUUCUUUUCAACCAUGAGAUUUUUCUGACCCUAAGCUAUGUAUUUAAAUUAUAUUUAUCAAAUCCUUCCUUCUGAGCCAUACCAAGUUUACCAAUGCUGUGGGAAAAAAUCCUCAUACAUUUCUAAAAGACUUUAAUCCCCAAACAAGAAAACAAAAGCGCUUCCAUGACCCAGAGGAGGCAUUGUAAUGGCACAAGGUUUCUAUGUAGGAAGAAUAUUAAAUUUUUUUUAAAAAUAAAAUUGAUUUUGGCAAUGGUUGCAUAACUCUAUGAACAGACUAAACCGUUGAAUUCCACAUGUUAAAUGGCUGAAUUAUAUGCCAUGUGAAUUCUCUCAAUAAACCUGUUACAUACCCAGAAAAUAAAACUCCCUCAAGCUUUUACUGUAGACCCUGGCUUGGCAGAAUUUCCUGACUCUUCAUCAUUAGAAGUUCUGCCUCAUAGGAUCCCUGCAAAAAUGGCCAUGGGGACACAGAGUUUUAUUUUGCAAUGGAGGCAGCUGAAGAAUUAAGCCUCAAAGAUAGACUUCAGUUCACCUCAGUUCACUGCAGUUCACAGCUGUGCACACUGUCUCCACUUGCCACAUGUCUCGAUGUUACAAGUUUCUACACAACCUGGGAUACACUCCACAGGAAUGAGACAACAUGAAUAAACAUCAGUGGUUUACCUGCAACAAAGUAUGCACUGAAUGGGUGACAGGGAAAACUCCUUCAGUGGCUGAUAAACAUUCUGAAAAUCCAAUGAAGUAUCUAAUUUUAAGGCAUCCCAGGAUGAUGGUAAUGACUGCAAACAAUGUGAUACUACCUAAAUGUGGGAUAAAGGGGGAAGUGGAAACACACACAUUCCAUUAAUAUACAUUGAUGUCAUUUCAAAAUAAAUUAUAUUACAUAUGAAACCCUUAUGUAUAUGGUCAAAUGAUUUUUUUCACAAGGGUGCUGAGACCAUUCAAUGGGAAAAGGGCAGUCUUUUCAACAAAUGUGGGAAAACUGGAUGUCCACAUGCAAACGAAUGAAUUUGAACCCUCACCUUACAGCAUAUACAAAAAUUAACUCAAAACAGAUAAAAGAUCUAAACAUAAAAGUAUAAACCUUGUAAAAGAAGACAUGGGAGAAAGCUUCAUGACAUUGGCUUUGGCAAUAAUUUCUUGGCUAUGACACCAAAAAUGCAAGCAACAAAAAUUAAAAUAAAUAAGACGAACUACAUGAAAAUGAAAAAUUUUUGCACAUCACAGGAUGCUACCAACGAAGUGGAAAGACAGCCCACAGAACUGGAGAAAACAUUAGCAAAUUAUAUACCUAAUAAGUCAUUAAUAUCCACAAUAUACAGAUUUGUUUACAUUAAAUACCUCAUAUAAUGAAAUCGUACAGUACUGUCCUUUGGUGGUUGAGUUUAUUUUACUUAGCAUAAUGUCCUUAUGGCUCAUCCAUACUGUAUCGUGUGUCAGAAUUUCCUUCCUUUUUAAGCCGAAUAAUAUUUUGUUGUAUGUCUAUACCUCACUGUGUUUAUCCAUCUAUCUGUUGAUGGAUGCUGGGUCGCUUCCACCUUUUGGAUACUGAAAAUAAUGCUGCUAUGAGAGAAUUUAUAGAGAAUUCUUAUACAUUGACAGCAAUGGGCUGGGCACAGUGGCUCGCACCUGUAAUCCCAGCACUUUGGGAGGCCGAGGAGGGUGAAUAACUUGAGGGCAGAAAUUGGAGACCAGUCCGGCCAAUGUGGUGAAACCUGUCUCUACUAAUAAUACAAAAAUUAGCCUGGUAUGGUGGUGCAUGCCUAUAUUCCCAGCUACUUGGGAUGCUGAGGCAGGAGAAUCCCUUGAACCAGGGAGGCAGAGGUUGCAGUGAGCCGAGAUCAUGCCAUGGCACUCCUGGGCAACAAGAGCGAAACUCUGUCUCCAAAAAUCGAUCAAUCAACAAUGACAAAAGCCAAUUUAAAAAUUGGCAAAGGACUUGAAUAAACAUAUCUCCAAAGAAGACAUAAAGAUGGCCAGCAAGUACAUGAAAAGAUGUUCACCAUCACUAAUUAUUAGAGAGAUGCAAAUCAAAACUACAAAAUACUUUCACACUAUCAGGAUGGCUACUAUCAAAAAAAAAAAAAAAGAAAAUAAUAGAAAAUAACCAGCAUUGGUGAGGAUAUAGAGAAAUAGUGCUCUGUUGGUAGGAAUGUAAAUUGGUACAGCUACUACUGAAAACAGUAGGGAGGGCCUUCAAAAAAUUGAAAAUACUAUUAUGGCAUGAUCUGGCAUUUUCACUUCUGAGUAUAUACCCAAAAGAAUGGAAAGCAGGGACCUGAGGGGAUAUCUGUAUUCUCCUGUUCAUAGCAGCAUUAUUUUCAGUAUCCAAAAGGUGGAAGCAACCCAACAUCCAUCAACAGAUGGAUGGAUAAACACAAUGAGGUAUAGACAUACAACAGAAUAUUAUUCAGCUUAAAAAGGAAGGAAAUUCUGACACACGAUACAGUAUGGAUGAGCCAUGAGGACAUUAUGCUAAGUAAAAUAAACUCAACCACCAAAGGACAAUACUGUAGGAUUUCAUUAUAUGAGGUAUCAAACGUAAGCAAAUUCAUAGACAGAAAUAGAAUGGUGGUUGCCAGGUGCUAGAGGGAGGGAAGAAUGAAGAGUUAGUGUUUAAUGAGGACAGAGUUUCAGUUUUGCGAGAUGAAAAAGUUCUGGAGGUUGGUUGCACAACAGUGCAUAUGUGCUUAACACCACUGAGCUGUGCACUUGAAAACUGCUAAGUUGGUAAAUUUUAUGUAUAUAAAUGCAUGUUUUACCAUAAUUAAAAAUAUAUUAAUAAAAUAAAUUCUAGCCCAGGCAUGGUGGCUCAUGCCUGUAAUUCCAGCACUUUGGGAGGCCAAGGCGGGAGGAUCACUUGAGGCCAAGAGCCUAAGCAACCCCAUCUCUACCCAAAAAUAACAUAAUAAUUAUUUCUAAAUAAAUAAACAAAUUCUACUGUUGAGCUGCGAAGGUAAAACUAGAAGGCAGGUGUUGUGUCCUGUUCAUCAUUGUACCCACCCCAUAGCCUAGAGUCUGACAAAUGAUACACAAUCAACGAAGCCUGGUGCAGUCAACAGAAUGCUCCCAGAAGCUUUUUCAAAAAGGAGAAAUCUAAGAAUGUCACUGCUCUACUCAAAAAUCUCAAUUCUCUAAUCCUAAAAUCCUGUUCUCUAAAGAAUAAGAGUGCAGCUGGCCGGGUGCAGUGGCUCACAUAUGUAAUCCCAGCACUUUGGGAGGCCGAGGUGGGUGGAUCACCUGAGGUUGGGAGUUCGAGACCAGCCUGACCAACAUGGAGAAACCCCAUCUCUACUAAAAAAUACAAAAGUAGCGGGUGUGGUGGUGCAUGCCUGUAAUCCUGCUACACCGGAGGCUGAGGCAGGAGAAUCACUUGAACCCGGGAGGUGGAGGUUGCAGUGAGCCGAGAUUGCAUGAUUGCAUUCCAGCCAGGGCAACAAGAGUGAAACUCUGUCUCAAAAUAUAUAUAUAUUAAUAAGAAAUAAUAAGAAAUAAGAGUGCAGAGUGUGCAGGUCAUACAGGUAUACAGGAAUUCUCUGAACUGUCUUUGCAACUUUUCCAUAAAUCUAAAGCUUUUCUAAAAUGGAAAGUUUAUUUAUUUAUUUAUUUGAGACAGGGUCUUGUUCUGUCGCCCAGGCUGGAGUGCAGUGGCACGAUCUUGGCUCACUGCAACCUCCACCUCCCAGGUUCAAGUGAUUCUUGUGCCUCAACCUCAAUCCCAAGUACCUGGGAUUACAGGUGUGCUGGUCAGGCUGGUCUUAAACUCCUGGCCUCAAGUGCUCCGCCUGUCUCAGCCUCCCAAAGUGCUGGGAUUACAGGCAUGAGUCACUGAGCCUGGCUGAAAGUAUAUUAGAAAAAAAAAAAUAGAUGGGUAAGGGCUCUAUAGUAGUAGCUGAGGAAGGGCCUGUGCUAGGUGUACUGAGGAAAGGAAGCAAUCUUUGAUAUUAUAAUGAGCAUGGCUGCCCAAAAUAUAAAGACAAACUAAUAAAAAAUUUGCAUAUAAAAAAGACUGGAAAGGAAUGUACAAAAUACAUUAAAAAGACACUUGGUGACAAAUGAAGAAAUUAGUGAGAAAAAGGCAAUGAUCAUGAGUGCUUGAUCAAGUCAGAGUUCCUCAUCUCCCUCCUGGGCUAGCAUUGACUGCCAUUUACACAUUUGCUCCUACCAACAGGAGGAAACUGGAUCAUGUAUGACAUGCAUUAAGGCACUGAGCAGAGAGGAGGGCAUGAGCCAUAACAUUGGGCUAUAACGUUACAGCCCCAGCCUGAGAAGCCUCCUCUGAAAAGUAAUGCAAUCGCCUGGCACUUUUCCACCGCUCAAAGCCUUAUAGAAACAACUCUAACUCACAUUUUUAAUCCUGAAAACACCCCAAUGAAAUCGGAAACUUUGUAAGAGUGGAGAUUCAAUCCCAGUGCUUUGAAAUGUUUUGACAAAUACGUGGUUGGUUUUAAUUACAAAAAACAUAGCAAGAUCAGGUGAGGCAGCGUGGCUGAGUGGCAAGAGUACAGGCCUGAAAGUACGGAGACCUGGACACUCACAGAAUACAUGAGUCACUUCCUGCUCCCAGCCUCAGGAUUCCCAUACAGAAAAUGCAGAUGGUCUACAGCAGUGGUUCUCAAACUGGAAACUGCAUCAGAAUCACCUGCAGGGCUUGUUAAAACACAAAUUCCUGGGCUCCACCUCCAGAGUUUCUGAUUUAGUAGGUCUGGGUGGUGCCCCAAAAUUUUCAUCUCUAACAAGUUUUCAAGUGGGGCUGCCACUGUUGAUCUAGGCUCCGCUUUGAAAACUACUGGUCUAGACCAUCUCUGUGGUUGACAUGCCAAGCGUUCAAUAAUAUACUCUUUAAGUCCUCCCUUUCUUCCUGUGUUCAUCCAUUCAUCCAUGGAUUCAUUCAGCCAGUUGUUUAUACAACAAACACCUUAGGGACUCCUACGAUGCAUGAGACAUUGUGCCAAGGGCUCAAAGACAGACAUAGGAGAUUGCUGUAGAAACAAAAAUAUGCGAGUAUAAUAUUGCAUAAAUUGGGGUGUGCACAAAAUAUCAGAGAGAUGAGCUGGCAACAGACUUCCUCUGUGCAGCCUGGGAAACCAGAAGACAGUGGAGGAAUGUGCCACAAGGAAAGGACUGCACCUCAAAAACCUUAUUCUCAGCUAAGAUGUCGCCCAUGUGUCAGGGCAAAAGGCAGAAUGAUGUUUGAAGUAUACAAAAUGUAAUUUUUUCAACAGCUAUUUAUUGAGCAGCAACCAUGGGCCAGGCAUUGUCCCAGGCACUGAAGAUAUAAAGGUCAAUAAAAUAGAGUAUCUGCCCUUGAGGAGUUUCACAUCUAGUGGGGAAGGCAAAAAAUUAACCGGUAAAUAGUAAACACAUAAAGAAUGUCAGGAAGUGCUAAGUGCAUGAAGAAAAGUAAAGCAGAAAAGGGGACUGAGGUUGAAGGUACAUGGGCAGGAAAGGAGGUGAUUGUUGAACAGAGAACAGAGAAAACUGUCAUCCACAUAACUUGUCUGACAAAGGACUUUAACCAAGGAGCUUGUGAACUGGAAGAGAGUCCCCAAAAGAGGGGAAGAUGAGGAGGAGAGCAAAUUAUAGUGACCAAUCAACUCUGUGGAAGGCUAGAGGAGGGUGGAGGUAUAAUGGAUGGAGAGACAGAUGGAGAUAGAUAAUUAGAUUAAUAGGAGAGAAAAGAAGAACUUAAAUUCAAAUGGAUAAACUGCCUGAGAUGUGUAACUUACAUGCCCUAUAAAGACUUGUCAUACAGAAUAGACAUUUUGAGGCUAAAUUCUAUUAACUAUCUCUACAAAACCCAUAAGUUCGGCCAAGCACAGUGGCUCACACCUGUAAUCCCAGCGCUUUGGGAGGCCGAGGCAGAUGGAUCACCUUUGGUCAGGAGUUCGAGAUGAGCCUGGCCAACAUGCUGAAACCCCGUCUUUACUAAAAAUACAAAAAUUAGUCUGGCGUGGUGGCAAGCAUCUGUAGUCCCUGCUACUUGGGAGGCUGGGGCAGGAGAAUGGUGUGAACCCAAGAGGCAGAGGUUGCAGUCAACCGAGAUUGUGCCAUUGCACUCCAGCAUGGGUGACAGAGCGAGACUCCAUCUGAAACAAAACAAAACAAAACAAAACAAAACAACAACAACAACAACAACAAAAAACCUAAGUUGGAAAAGGACUGGAUAGGGAACAAAGAAAAACCUUUGAAAGCCCUCAAGGUAAAUAAAUGGAAAAGGAGAGGGAAGAAGGGAAAGGAAUAGGGAGGCAAACGUAUCCUAAAGAUCUCAUCCCAUUAGGUAGAGAGGAAGUGGGAGCAGUGAACAUCUUGGAGUGGGACACAGUGUGGCUUGCUGAGGGAAAUGUUCAAUAUUUUGUUUUCAAAUAAGAAAGAAGUAAUAGGCAGCUGGGCGCGGUGUCUCACACCUGUAAUCCCAGCACUUUGGGAGGCCAAGAUGGGCGGAACACUUAAGGUCAGGAGUUCAAGACCAGCCAGGCCAAGAUGGUGAAACCCUGUCUCUACCACAAACACAAGAAAUUAGCCCAGUGUGGUGAUGGGCACCUGUAGUCCCAGCUACUUUGGAGGCUGAGGCAGGAGAAUCGCUUGAACCUGGGAGGCGGAGGUUGCAGUGAGCCGAGAUCAUGCCACUGCACUCCAGCCUGGGCAACAAAGUGAGACUCCGGCUCAAAAAAAAAGAAUGAAGUAAUAUGCAUCAGAUUAUGAGAGUGAGGGAAGAAAAAAAUGGCCAUGAAUGGAAUAAAAAAUCAGAAUAAAUUUUCAAAUGCUCAAAAAAGGCAAAUGUGGAAGAGGAAAAGGAAGAAAUAGGAAUGUAAAAUAUAUCAUCAUAAACAUCGAAAAGAAAAAUGGAAACAAAAAAGUCAACCACAUAAAUUAUUUCUAUAAAUUAGAAUGAUCUAAAUCCUCCCACUAAGGAGUAAGCAAGAAUAGGAAAAUUGAAUUAAAAACAAAACCUAGUUACAUGAUCUUUACACAAAUUGCAUCUUUAACAAAGUAAUAAAGGUUUAAAAUAAAGUAGUGGACAAAGAGGAAUCAGGCAAUGCAAACAAAAAGAAAGUUGGAAUGGCAAUAUUAAUAUCAGACCAUACGGGAUUUAAAGUUAAUGUAUUAAGUAGGAUAAAGAAUCCUUCCUCUUUUAUCACUACGCAUGGCCUGGUGCUUACUUUAGAAUGUUUUUCUUUAUAUUGAAGUGCAGUUGACUUCCCAGAACUAUCAUCUUCUUCCCUGGAGCUUCUAUCAUCAUUCACUUAUUCAUCCACCCAUCUAGUCAUCCAUCCAUCCACCCAAUCAUUCAAUCAUUCAAUUAUUCAGUAGCUACGAAUUGGCAUUUACUACAUGUUAGGCACUGUGCCAGGAGCUCGGGAUACAAUGGUAAGCACAUUCAGACAGGGUCUCUGCCUUUAGGGGCUCAGUCUGGCUACCCCAACAGUCACUGAAUAAUACAAUAUCCUGCUUGAUUAGUGCUAGAAAGAAAAUGAAGAGUGCUAUGAGACCAUACAACAUGGGGGCUGCCCCUGGUCUGAAACUAUCGGGAGAGGCUUCCCAGAGGAAAUGACUCUUACUUGCUGAAAGACAGAGGAUGGCCUGGAGCUGACAGGUGCAAGGCAGCAGCACUUUCUACCCUGUGACCUCCGCAUCCUUCUCUCUUCUGGACUGAACCUCCUUUUGCUCCUCCUGCCGCCACUCUUUCCAAGGGCCUGUGAAAUGCUCAAGGAGGAUGAGACCCUCCACACACAGUCUGAUUUCCUUUCCAAUGAAAGCCAAGCCUGCAUCUGAUUUUUUGGCAGCCACAUUCGCUUGUUUGUGUUGAAAUCGUGACACUAUGUCUAUAUUUUCCAUUGGACCAGAAAUAUCAUCUAAGAAAAGAAAUAAGUAAGAAAACGCAUGCAGUUAAGCAAGACCCUCAUAGUGGCCCCAGAAUGGAUCUUGAGGAUCACUGGUCUUUUUCCUGAGGGACUUGCCCUCUGCCUAUUGAUCUAAGAUUGUCACCAACACCAGGGCAGAGCUGAGUUCCCGGGUCAAACCUGUCUUUCCAGCUAGAAUUCCAGAGGAAACCCCAGUCCCUGUUGGGGCUGAAGGUGCUUCCUUUUGGCAUCGGGGCCUCUCGACACUAAUAAUUAGCUUCUUGCUUCUUUGAGGAACCCACAGGAAUGGCCAGGGCUUUGCAAACUGCUUCUCUCAACAUCCCCCAGCUCCUCCCAGAGAGUCGACUGGGAUUCUUAUCUUACUGAUGAGGAAAGCAGAACUCAGAAAGGUGAAGGUGACAGAGCUGAGACCUCAAGCCAAGCCCUCCAGAGCCAACACCAUUUCCAUGAUACACACACCUCACUUGAAUUACAUUAUUAUGGGGCAACUCACUGAAUGUCUAAACAGCUACCACCUACUGAACACCUAUCACGUGCUCUCUCUACCUUGCCCAUUUAUUCCCUCUCUACUUAGUGUCCCAAAGACACCUCAAAUGUAGCAUGUCCAUAAGAGAACUGUAACAUGUCAUUGGUUUUGUGUCCCCACCCUGCUCUUCCCUUUGGCUUCCCAAUCUUGGGAAAUGGUGCAACCAUUCACCCAUAGACUCAGGCGCCAAUGCUCGGAGUCAACCUGAAAGGAGGCAGAGAGAGAGGAAGAACAAAAAAACACAGAUGGAUGGAUGGACAGAUGGAUGGAUGGAUGGAUGGAUGGAUGGAUGGAUGGAUGAUGAAUAAGUGUGGAUGGGUGGAUGGAUGCAUGGUGGAUAAAUAAGUGAAUGAUGAUAGAAGCUCCAGGGAAGAGGAUGAUGGUUCUGGGAAGUUAACUGCACUUCAAUAUAAAGAAGAGCAUUCCUUGGAUAAGGAUAGACUGAGUAGAAAAAAGAAGAAAGAGGA
rnacentral:lncRNA from 1 species